GGACCUGACUGCUAUCGGAUUAAUACUAAACCAUGCGAGUUUUUGUAGUAAUACAAGGCAUACGGCUCAGUAACGCGUAGUCAACCUACCCUAUGGAUGGGGAUAAUCUCGGGAAACUGAGCAUAAUACCCAAUAGAUCAUCAAUUCUGGAAUGGUUGAUGAUUCAAAUGAUUUUUCGCCAUAGGAUGGGACUGCGGCCUAUCAGCUUGUUGGUGAGGUAAUGGCCCACCAAGGUAAUUACAGGUACGGGCUCUGAGAGGAGAAGCCCGGAGAUGGGUACUGAGACAAGGACCCAGGCCCUAUGGGGCGCAGCAGGCGAGAAAACUUUGCAAUGUGCGAAAGCACGACAAGGUUAAUCCGAGUGAUUUCUGCUAAAGGAAUCUUUUACCAGUUCUAAAAAUACUGGCGAAUAAGGGGUGGGCAAGUUCUGGUGUCAGCC
rnacentral:rRNA from 1 species